UACGUAGGGUGCAAGCGUUGUCCGGAAUUAUUGGGCGUAAAGAGCUCGUAGGCGGUCUGUCGCGUCUGCUGUGAAAACUCAGGGCUUAACCCUGAGCUUGCAGUGGGUACGGGCAGACUAGAGUGCGGUAGGGGAGACUGGAAUUCCUGGUGUAGCGGUGAAAUGCGCAGAUAUCAGGAGGAACACCGGUGGCGAAGGCGGGUCUCUGGGCAACAACUGACGUGGAGGAGCGAAAGCGUCGGGGAGCGAACAGG
rnacentral:rRNA from 1 species